GAUGAACGCUGGCGGCGUGCCUAAUACAUGCAAGUCGAGCGAACGGACGAGAAGCUUGCUUCUCUGAUGUUAGCGGCGGACGGGUGAGUAACACGUGGAUAACCUACCUCUAAGACUGGGAUAACUUCGGGAAACCGGAGCUAAUACCGGAUAAUAUUUUGAACCGCAUGGUUCAAAAGUGAAAGACGGUCUUGCUGUCACUUAUAGAUGGAUCCGCGCUGCAUUAGCUAGUUGGUAAGGUAACGGCUUACCAAGGCAACGAUGCAUAGCCGACCUGAGAGGGUGAUCGGCCACACUGGAACUGAGACACGGUCCAGACUCCUACGGGAGGCAGCAGUAGGGAAUCUUCCGCAAUGGGCGAAAGCCUGACGGAGCAAUGCCGCGUGAGUGAUGAAGGUCUUCGGAUCGUAAAACUCUGUUAUUAGGGAAGAACAUAUGUGUAAGUAACUGUACACAUCUUGACGGUACCUAAUCAGAAAGCCACGGCUAACUACGUG
rnacentral:rRNA from 1 species